rnacentral:rRNA from 1 species
GCAAGUCGAACGAGAAACCCCACAGAGACGAUUUAUCUGAUCUGUGAGGUGGAAAGUGGCGGACGGGUGAGUAACGCGUGAGUAACCUACCUAUCACAGAGGGAUAGCCCCGGGAAACUGGGAGUAAUACCUCAUAAGACUACAGCACCGCAUGGUGCAGUGGUAAAAACUACGGUGGUGAUAGAUGGACUCGCGUCUGAUUAGCUAGUAGGUAAGGUAACGGCUUACCUAGGCAACGAUCAGUAGCCGGCCUGAGAGGGUGAUC